UAUAGAGUUGUUUACGUUAAGUACUUUAAUGGUGUAGUUUACUGUUAAUCACCUUGUUCUAACUACGUCUGUUGAGUGGCCGUACUAUAAAUUCCCUUGUAAAUUUAGAAAGGACAAUCACCAGUGGUCAAGGAGAUGCUCAGAAAUCAUCAUGGCAUCAGACACAGUUGCUUGGUUUGAGUUUCUGUUAAAUCCUACAUUGCUGGAAUCCCAUCUGAACCAAGCCAAUCCCGAGCCAUCACCAAUUGGCCUCAUCAUCCAGUUCAUUUACAACAGCAUCAAGAGAACUGAUGGAGGAAAUAGUGAGGUGGAGACGAUGGACGUGUCGACACAGGAGAGUAACAAGAAGAAGAACGCUCUCUCUGUGCUGGCUCUCAAGACUGCCGCUCACCUCAACUGGAACCUGGAAAUAUUUGAACAGAAAUUACCUCUACAUAUGCAAGAUGCUCUCCUUGUUGCACUGUUGCACGAAACACUUGAGGAUAUGAGCAGUCCAACGACUCACGGGACACUGGACACUGGCCCCUUGUUGCCGUACCAGCUGUUCAGUGUGGCCCUCUACCAUCGCUAUGCUCUCAGGGCCCUUGUUCAGACUAAGUUACCAGCCAAGCCCAUCAAGGUCUCUAAUGUUCCCAUUCCUGGGCAGCAAGACCCCACACAGGAGUCUCGUGAAGUCCAAGAAGGCAUCUUGAGUGUGCUGGAGAGAGGAGGUGAAGUGUCGGUCAGGAUCCUCGAGCAGUUACUUGGAGCAGGAGAGGUUCGUGCCCCAGUGUUGGCCACCUUCACCGUGCACACUCACCAGAGCUCCGUCAUUAGUCACAACUGGGACCGCUGCAAGUCUGUUGCUGAUGAGCAGUUCAAGUGUCAGAUCCACUGUGACCUGGGAGCCUACCACUUCCUGCAGGAGAGAUACGAAGACGCGUUUUCUCACUUUUCCGAAGCCUGUAAACUCCUGCCGGAAAUAGGGUCACAUCCAGAAUAUUGCCAAGUGAACGAGAGCAAGCUGAGGGGGUACUACAAGAGCUGUGCAUCCCUGUGUGGUCGCUCGACACCCCCUGAGCAACGAUCACUCUACGAUAGGUUUCUGUACUCGGCUAGUAAUGGGUAUCAGGAUUUAGUGAAGGUUCUCUCUGAUGAUAACGUGGCCUUUGAGAUACCUUCAUACUUGAGGAAGAAUCUUGAGCUUGAACUGGAAGCUAAACCUGAGAAGGCUCCACAAGGACUCCUUUUACAGGUGCAGACGCUCAACACCAUCAGAAACGUACUAGAGGGAGAGUUGUGGAAUAGCAGUUAUCCCAUUUCUUUAUCCCAAGCUGGCAAGCCUGGGGUACAGUUUCUGAUUCAGGCAUUGGUUGCUAAGUUCUCCAAGCUCAACAGUACACACAAGGAGCGGAUACGCAUGUUUCUGCUCACCGUCAACUUGGCAUCAAACAUCAGAGAAGUUUUGGUACCUGCCAUUAAAGUGUGUCCUCCACUCAAGGCUCUCAUCUCACAACAGGAGCUGCUGACAAUGUGGCCACAGUACGAAGAAUCAAGAGUUAGCUUAAUUAAGAAAUCCCCUGAGGCUUCAAUGACGGAUCCCAACAACCUCAAUGACAUAAUAUGGGACCUGAUCCACUCCUAUAACCCAGAGGUACUCAAGAGUGCUGUGAUGCACUACAAGAGCACAGUGCCACCCAGACCUGACAUACCCAAGAAAGAGAUCCCAGAACUUAAUGUGAAGUGGGAGAUGCCAAUACCCAUCUACAACACCCUUAUGAAGCUGCCUCAGACCCCCCAGAGAGAGCUCGUCUUCCUGUAUAUUGCCAAAGCUGUAGAACUUACUCAGGCCAAGAGUUUUCAGAGUGCAUUAGACUUGCUUGAAGAAACUAUGAUCCACGCAGCCAAGCUCCCCGGUAGAGAGACUGGUCGCCUGUGUAAGCUGCUCACCUGGAUGUUGCUCAUGUCUAAGAUACAACACUGCCUGUAUGAUUUACCUUGUGUGGACAAUUCUGUUAUGAGUGAACUAACGAAUGAAGCUCGGCAGUGUUUGAGCGCCCACAGCGGGAGAGAUGGGAUAGCUCCUUGGACCGGUGUCAAUAAUUGGUGUAUCCUCCUCCUGCUUAAUGCUGGUGAGUGGAACAGUCUACUGGGUGGAGUGUCUCUACCCUCUCACCUCUACCUGCUGGCCUUGGUGAAGCCUCUGGCAGCAACAGCUCACGCCUUGAGGGAGAAACACACCAACAAGGGUGUUUGGUACGACCUGUGGGAUGUUGUGGUUGGAAUAUUGGUGAACAGUAUGCAACACAAACGGUCCAGCUCUGGCCAGUCUACGCCCAUUGAGCGACACCAUGACUCAGUUGUUAUGAGCCGAUCUGCAUUCCUAGAUUUUCUGGAGAACAUAAGAGAACCAAGUUGUCUUUCCAUCAUCAUCUCACUCCUGGGACACGUGUUAAACAUCCUGACCCAGGAACCUAAUAGCGAAGUCCACAUCGACCAUCUUGCCAUGUGGCCGCUGUUAGUUACACCGUACACAUAGAGACAGUCAAAGACACACUAACCUGGGUGGUGAAUCAUGCAACCAGAUUAUACCCUACAGCAACACAUACAAGUACAGCACUGUGUACCUCUUGGCACUUGUCGAAGGCUGACCUUGCCUACAUGAGCGACCAGUACUACAGUGCCCUGGCCGGCUACCUGACUGCUGUGUUUGUUGCGACAGACUUCCUCAGAAAUGAUACCGG
rnacentral:misc_RNA from 1 species